ensembl:lncRNA
GUUUAGAUAAAGCUCCAAGGCUCUCAAAGCUUUUAACUUAAUUGCUUCUAAAAAUAUCUUUUGGAGAGGCAAGCUGAAGUUCAAGAUCCAAGCACUCUUGUUUGCUGUAGAAGAGAACAUGCACAGGAGACCUCAGAAACCAAUGUCAAUAUUAGAAGCUUAAAGACCUGAGACACGGUUCGAUUCCUCUGGGAAGAUCGCACAUGCCACGGAGCAGUGGGAUCUGCAAGCCCGUGCACCACAACGCCUGAGCCCUUGCUCUAGAGCCGGAGCUCUGCAACGAGAGAAGCUAUGCAACGAGAGGCCAGGGCACCGCAGCUAGAGAGGAGCCCCGCUCGGCGCAGCUAGAGAACAGCCCAGACAGCAGAAAAGACCCAGUGCAGCCAAAAAAUAAAAAAGUUAAAAUUUUUAAAAUCUUUAAAAAA